GCCGACGUAGCUCAGUGGUAGAGCAGCUGAUUCGUAAUCAGCAGGUCGCAGGUUCAAAUCCUGCCGUCGGCUCCA
rnacentral:tRNA from 1 species